UAGGUGGGUAUACAUAGGUGGGUAGGCAAGUAAGCAGAUAAAAAGGUAUACAGGUAGGUGCCGUACAUGGGUGAAAAAAAAGGUGGGUGAGUAGAUUGGUGGUAGGUUGAAACAAGUGAAUAAGUGGGUAAGGAGGUGGGUAGGUAAUUAGGUGGAUAAGUUAAGUAGGUGGGUAGGUUAAGUGGGUGGGUAGGUAAGUAGGUGGGUAGGUUAAGUAGGUGGGUAGGUUAAGUAGGUGGGUAGGUUAAGUAGGUGGGUAGGUAAGUAGGUGGGUAGGUUAAAUAGGUGGGUAGGUUAAGUAGGCGGGUA
rnacentral:lncRNA from 1 species